CACACACACACACACACUUUAUUUAAUCCCAAAGGUCCCUGGUGACACACUGUUUAAAAGACAGAGUCCUUCAUUGACCACAUGCAUUAUUUUCAACCCUUUUACCUUCACACUUUCAAAUCUGACAAGUCUUACUGCAACCAUGAAAUAUUUAGCUCUGGCUUUGCUGCUAUGUUCUCUGCCUUCACUGUCAGUUGCCUUCUGCUACGGAAAGGCCAUGAAAUUUGAGUUAGAUCCUGGAGUGGCCUAGCCAGUCUCCGGACCUUAUUCCCAUAAAAAAUCUGUGGAGGGAGCUGAAACUUCGAGAUGCUAAGCGACAGCCUCGAAACCUUCAGGAUUUGGCGAGUAUCUAUAAAGAGGAGUGGACCAAAAUCCCUCCUGAGAUGUGCGCAAACCAGGUGACCAACUACAAGAAACGUCUGACCUCUGUGCUUGCCAACAAGGGUUUCUCCACCAAGUAUUAGUCACAUUUUGUUUGGGGAUCAAAUACUUAUUUCACUCAAUCGAAUACAAAUUAAUUUAUAACCUUCAUUUAAUUUUUUUUUCUGGAUUUUUUGUUGAUAUUCUGUCUCUCCCUAUUAAAAUAAACCUACCAUAAAAAUGAUGGACUGUUCAUGUCUUUGUAAGGGGGUAAACUUACAAAAUCAGCAGGGGAUCAAAUAAUUAUUUCCUCCACUGUACAUCCACAGGUGAGACCAUGACCCAGACCCACUGUCAGGAUGAUGUUGAUAAAACAUGGCAUCCUGUAGGAUCUACAUGGAGAAACAGUGAAUGUAUGGACUGUGGAUGCUCUAGAUGUUGCUCUGCGUAUUCCAUCCCCAAACAGUUCCCUGACGACUGUGUGUCAGUGUUUGACUCGGUAGCAUGUGCAUACAUAGUGCACAAGAAGGAUGACCCCUCCGUGCAAUGUCCAAUUUAUGCUGCAGUUGGGUAAUAAUGGAGUCUGAUUGUAUUUUCUUUUGAGAGAAGCAGAUGUGCUCCCUUACUGGAUUCUCAGAGCAAUUAAGUUUUUGUUUAAAUGCAUGACCAAGAGCUGCUGAAAUGUAUUCAAAAUAAAAUGCAUCUACAAACUACAUUUCAAAUGAAUAAAUAAACAGAUCAUAUAUUUCCUUA